rnacentral:lncRNA from 1 species
CACCCAUCCUCACCUCCUCAAGCUGCAACGCCGUCGCCCGUAUUAGGUAUGUCCCUGAUAUCGUGCCGGCUUGAUGAGUCCUUUCCACUGCACCCAUAACCGGUGGCAACGGAUCUCCACCGUGGUAAUCCAUGGUUGAAGUCUGCAUGUCCAAGGGAUGGAUGGAAGAAGGAUUGUCACGCCCCGAACCCAACACCCGAAUC